GGGCGGGCGGCGAGCGAGGCGCUCAAAGUCAGCCUCGCAGACAUUGCAGCAGAGCCCCGAACUCGGGAGGCGGCGGCGGAGGAGGCGGCGGCGAGGCGCAGGGACGAUCCGGCCCCACGCCCGCCCGCCACCCGCGCGCGCCCGUCCGCCCGUGGCCUCGCGUCCGCCGCUGCGCCGGGAGCGCCGCUGGUCGGAGGGAAGAGCUCGCCGGGGUGCCGGGCCAGGACGGGGCGGCAGGCGCCUUCGCGGACCGAGCCUGACAGAGCCGGAGGCUGGGAGCCGCGGCGGCCUGGGAACACUGAUAUUUGCAUUCAAUGGGGAACAAACGAUGAAGAAGGAAAAGGAAUAUAUUCACUAAGGAUUCUAUCUGCGUACUGCUACAGACCUGUGUUUUAAGGAAUUCUCCUCCUUCUUGCAUAGAAGUUGAUCAGCUCUGUGGUCAGACUCAUUUAUCUUGUCAUUGCCAGAAGAAAUCCUGGACAGAAUGUAACAGUACGUCUCUCUCUGAUUGCUAUGGAAGGUGAAAAACUGAUACUCACUUAUUAAAGUUACGUCUCACUCACCACAGAAAACCAUUCUUUAAAGUGAAUAGAAACCAAGCCCU
rnacentral:lncRNA from 1 species